rnacentral:rRNA from 1 species
GACGAACGCUGGCGGCGUGCUUAACACAUGCAAGUCGAACGGAAAGGCCCCUUUGGGGGUACUCGAGUGGCGAACGGGUGAGUAACACGUGAGUAACCUGCCCUUGACUUCGGGAUAACUUCAGGAAACUGGGGCUAAUACCGGAUAGGAAUCCUUGCUGCAUGGUGGGGGUUGGAAAGCUUCGGCGGUUUUGGAUGGACUCGCGGCUUAUCAGCUUGUUGGUUGGGUAGUGGCUUACCAAGGCUUUGACGGGUAGCCGGCCUGAGAGGGCGACCGGCCACAUUGGGACUGAGAUACGGCCCAGACUCCUACGGGAGGCAGCAGUGGGGAAUAUUGCACAAUGGGCGGAAGCCUGAUGCAGCAACGCCGCGUGCGGGAUGACGGCCUUCGGGUUGUAAACCGCUUUCAGCAGGGGCGAAGCUUGUGGUGACGGUACCUGCAGAAGAAGCACCGGCUAACUACGUG